rnacentral:rRNA from 1 species
AAGCUCGUAGUUGAAAUUGUGUCCUGCGGUGUCUGUCUACCGGUUGCGGUACGACAGGCGCGUCUGCGGGGCUUCUCGCCGGUGCGUGUUCACCGCCGGUACGUCGCGUCGUCGUUGCGCUUUGCGCGCUUCGACGCACGGCGUCGAGGCGGGCCCUCGCGGCUGUUUACUUUGAACAAAUUAGAGUGCUCAAAGCGGGCUAAUAUUUGCCUGAAUAUUGUGCGCAUGGAAUAAUAGAAUAGGACCUCGGUUCUGUUUUGUUGGCUUUCUGAUACCAGAGGUAAUGAUUAAUAGGGACAACUGGGGGCAUUCGUAUUGCGACGUUAGAGGUGAAAUUCUUGGAUCGUCGCAAGACGGACUAAAGCGAAAGCAUUUGCCAAAGGUGUUUUCAUUAAUCAAGAACGAAAGUUAGAGGUUCGAAGGCGAUUAGAUACCGCUGUAGUUCUAACCAUAAAUGAUGCCAGCCAGCGAUCCGCCGAAGUUUCUUAUUUUGAUUCGGUGGGCAGCUCCCGGGAAACCAA